rnacentral:rRNA from 1 species
ACACGUAGGGGGCGAGCGUUGUCCGGAAUGAUUGGGCGUAAAGGGCGCGUAGGCGGCGCGGUAAGUCUGGAGUGAAAGUCCUGCUUUCAAGGUGGGAAUUGCUUUGGAUACUGCCGCGCUUGAGUGCAGGAGAGGCUAUCGGAAUUCCCGGUGUAGCGGUGAAAUGCGUAGAGAUCGGGAGGAACACCAGUGGCGAAGGCGGGUAACUGGACUGCAACUGACGCUGAGGCGCGAAAGUGUGGGGAGCAAACAGGAUUAGAUACCCUGGUAGUCCACGCUGUAAACGAUGAAUACUAGGUGUGGGGGGACUGACCCCCUCCGUGCCGCAGUUAACACAAUAAGUAUUCCACCUGGGGAGUACGAUCGCAAGAUUGAAACUCAAAUGAAUUGGCGGGG